UUAUUAAAAAAGUUUCAAUUAAGACACUCUCAGUGCUCAUAAGCCUUAUACCAGCGCAAUUUUUGAUAUACCGCUUUCUAGAGAAAGUAAUCCAUUAUCUAGUGUAUCUUUCGUUAAUAAAGCGCUACCGACUCUGUUUUUAAAUGUAAUCCAGAUUAAAAAGGCCUAGACAAAUUAAUGACUUUAGUCGUAUUCUAAUGAAAGUCCAGCGCGGUUUAAAAUACUAUUUGAUGGGAUAUGAUUUAUUUUAUGAAUAGAUAUUUCAGAAAAAUUAUCAAUAUAAGAAAAGUAAAAAGGUUUCUGCUGCCUUUCUUUAUUGCUUUCGGAUGGUUCAUGCUUACGGCAUUCCCAAUACUUGCUAUCCUUUUGUUUGAUAGAAAGUUUAACUUCAAUUCAACAUCUGGCAAUUUAUUAACGCUUUGGACAAGUCUAUUUGGUAUUAUUCUGCUCGUCAUUCGCUACAAAGGCGAUCCUUACUACUUACCAUUCGCAAAGAAACGAAUGCUUCACCGCUAUGCCAAAGGAUUCUUAUUUGGCCUCCUUCUCUUUGCAAUAAACUGGCUAUUUAUUUUUGGCCUACAAGGCUUUCAUGUCCGCUUAGCCUUUUCUUUCUCCGGCUUACCUAUCCUAGGACUAUUUUUAGUCGGCUUCAUUUUCCAAUCCAUGUUUGAGGAGUUAGUCUGCCGCGGCUACAUCAUGGGUUACUGGUUAAAGCGGCAAAAGUUGUUAACCGCUUGUCUGGCGAAUACGAUCUUUUUCACCCUAAUGAACGGCUUCAAUUCUGAGUUUAGUGUUUCAGCUUUCUUGGGCAUUUUUCUUUUCGGCAUGCUCUUGUCAGAAAUCCGAUUAAUUACCGGCAACAUUUGGUUCUGUGGCGCCUUCCACGCCGCUUGGAACUUCGCGGAAAGCAGGUUGUUUGGUGUGACUGUCCCCGGAUUAUCUGAUUCAGGCAUGAUCUUGAAGUCAACGAAUACCGGUUUGAGCCCAUUCAUUACUGGCGGCACUUUUGGCGUCGAAGCCAGUUGGCUAACUAUCGGGUUAUACUUGGCCCUAAGCUUCUGGGUUCUAAGUCUGUUACAGAAACAGAAGGGGAAGUUAUACGGUACGACUAUCGCCGGUUUUUAAAUUCGGCUGUUAAGUUUGAUCAUCACCAGAAAACAGGCACCGCUAUCAUGAACUUUUUCAGUUCGCGAUGGCGCUGCCUGUUUAUUUGUGAUGACUGACAACGUCAUUCAACUUAAGUGCCAUCAUCUGCCGCUACCCAGCACUAGCACGACGGUACGCCAGACACAAACUUGUUUUGUGCCAUCCCCUCCAUGUCAAAAAGAGCAGUACGUUGUUCUAGCGUGAGUUGAUACUGGUGGUCUCGCAUCUGAUCUCUACUGAAGAGACUGCGAGUUGAUUCGUGCUAAAAUCAUGCCCAUAAGAUUAUUUCGACUUAUCGCUAGAUGGCUAUAUGGAGCGAUUCAUCAUGACAAAUAUUGAAAAAAUAUGGUUAAUCGUAUUGUUAAUCGUUGCAUUUGUUGUGCCUAUUUUCGGGCUGAUCCCUGCCGUUUAUCUUUUCACGAAAAGGCGUUCAACCUUGGAUUUCAUCGCGCUUAAUGGAUGGAUACCCGGUGCAAUCGUUCUGCAGAUUUUCUAUCUCAUUUCCGUCAUUGUCAUAGGCUGGGUUGUUUCUCUACAUUAAAAAUCGCUAAAAGACCACGCAAACACUCAGUCAUACGCUUGAUUCUAGCGUCUUCCAUGUGUGCCUACCAAGCAAUGAUCUUGUAUUUAAUUGCUGACACUCAGCUAUUGCGAUCAUAAAAAGCACCCGCCUCAAAAAAUCAAACUGAUCCUUGCCUAUGUCAAUUUGACGAGUAUACCGAUUCCAUCUUCAUGCUUAAAAUUGCUUUUAGGUGGGAGAUUAUCCAGAAAGCCCAAUUGUUGACCUAAUCAAUUAUCCCAGCUUAUAAUAAAAUUGGUUGUAGGCUCACUGCAACGUCUCAAAUUGUGCAUCUCUGCAUUUGUCGUGCUUAACCAAAAACGAGGCGAUUUGAAUGAAUGAAAAAGGGACUGCCUUGUUCAAGAAGCGCUAUCAACAUGUCCUCAGAUUUCAAACGUUCUGGAUCGGUUUCUAUGUAAUUUUCAUGCCCUAUCUACUCCCUAAAAGAUCGCCUGUUCUAGAGAUGAUAUGGGUUUUUGUCAUCCCGUUCUCUCUCAUCACUUACCUCAUCUACGAAUAUUUUAGACUUAAAGCUGCCAAGGUAGGGUCGCUCGUCUUUUUGAUCGCGCUACUUGGCAUGCUAGUACUCGUAUGUUUGCAGAUUCUAAGGGUGAUUUCAUUGUAAACGGUUUGAUAAACGGCUUGCGUCAUGACAUGUCCGCCCCAAUCGACAAGAACAGUGUAUCCUUUUUCCUUUGGAUAUACUGUUCUUUACUUUAUGAACAGUAAAAAGACCGCAAAAUUGUGAUUAGCAAACACAAUCGGGCGAUCUUACCCUAACGCACCAGACUAGCGAUUUUUAGUCAACGU
rnacentral:rRNA from 1 species